rfam:Halostagnicola sp. A56, whole genome shotgun sequence.
GGCCGAUGACGAUGGGUCCGCUCCGAACCGGUCUCGGCAACCGGUCGUGACGAGCCCUAUGAGUGCCGAGGCC